AACUCUCAACCCCCCGUUUUGUAAUGAGACGGGCGCUUGGGCUUGGAUUAUGGCCGCCUGCUGGCAUUGACUUGCCGGCUCGGCUGAAAUACAUGAGCAACCCAGUGUUUUGAAAGACUGCUUUCAAACGGCUUGACUCGGCGUAAUAGUUUAUUUCGCUGAGGACGUUUGAAGACGCGACGUUUCAAUUUCGCUUUACAAGUGGCUGCUUCUAAUGCGCGGAUCCUCUACUUUCGAGUAGGGCCCACACCUUUUUAAGC
rnacentral:misc_RNA from 1 species